rnacentral:rRNA from 1 species
UACGUAGGGUGCGAGCGUUGUCCGGGAUUAUUGGGCGUAAAGAGCUCGUAGGCGGCUUGUCGCGUCGGAUGUGAAAGCCCGGGGCUUAACUCCGGGUCUGCAUUCGAUACGGGCAGGCUAGAGUUCGGUAGGGGAGAUCGGAAUUCCUGGUGUAGCGGUGAAAUGCGCAGAUAUCAGGAGGAACACCGGUGGCGAAGGCGGAUCUCUGGGCCGAUACUGACGCUGAGGAGCGAAAGCGUGGGGAGCGAACAGG